AGAGGAAGUAAAAGUCGUAACAAGGUUUCCGUAGGUGAACCUGCGGAAGGAUCAUUACCGAGUGCGGGAACCCAGUCGGGUCCCAAUCUCCCACCCGUGUCUACCACACCUAGUGUUGCUUUGGCGGGCCCACUCCUCCGGUGUUCCGCCGGGGGGGUCGUCCCGGGGCGCGGUGUGCCCCCGGGGCCCGUGCCCGCCAGAGGCACUCACUGUGAACGCUUUUGUGAAUGCGAGGAUUGUCUGAGUGACGAAAUGCAAUCGUUCAAAACUUUCAACAAUGGAUCUCUUGGUUCCGGCAUCGAUGAAGAACGCAGCGAAAUGCGAUAAGUAAUGUGAAUUGCAGAAUUCCGUGAAUCAUCGAAUCUUUGAACGCACAUUGCGCCCUCUGGUAUUCCGGGGGGCAUGCCUGUCCGAGCGUCAUUGCGAACCCUCAAGCACGGCUUGUGUGUUGGGCCGCCGUCCCCUCGUUUGGAGGGGACGGGCCUGAAAGGCAGCGGCGGCGUCGCGUCCGGUCCUCGAGCGUAUGGGGCUCUGUCACGCGCUCAAGGAGGGGUCCGGCCGGGGCCAUAGCCUCUGAAGGUCAAUUCUUCCAAGGUUGACCUCGGAUCAGGUAGGAGUACCCGCUGAACUUAAGCAUAUCAAUAA
rnacentral:rRNA from 1 species